CAGUGCUGCUUGAAAGUUUGUGAACUAGUUGAGUAGUUUAGAUUUUUCUUUAUUUUUACCAUGAUUUUCUUAUUUUUUCAUCACCAGUUUUUAAAUAAAAUAUGAAAUG